rnacentral:misc_RNA from 1 species
UCGGCGCCGCAGCUAACGCAUUAAGUGUGCCGCCUGGGGACUACGGCCGCAAGGCUAAAACUCAAAGGAAUUGACGGGGGCCCGCACAAGCAGCGGAGCGUGUGGUUUAAUUCGAUGCAACGCGCAGAACCUUACCUAGGCUUGACAUGCACGUGGUACCAACCCGAAAGGGAAGGGACCCGCGAGGGAGCGUGCACAGAUGCUGCAUG